UACGUAGGUGGCGAGCGUUAUCCGGAAUUAUUGGGCGUAAAGAGCGCGCAGGUGGUUGAUUAAGUCUGAUGUGAAAGCCCACGGCUUAACCGUGGAGGGUCAUUGGAAACUGGUCGACUUGAGUGCAGAAGAGGGAAGUGGAAUUCCAUGUGUAGCGGUGAAAUGCGUAGAGAUAUGGAGGAACACCAGUGGCGAAGGCGGCUUCCUGGUCUGUAACUGACACUGAGGCGCGAAAGCGUGGGUAGCAAACAGGAUUAGAUACCCGU
rnacentral:rRNA from 1 species